rnacentral:lncRNA from 1 species
CAUUAACAUAUCAUUUUUUAUUCCCAAUCCACUAGUCUCUAGAACCCAACAGCCAAGCGACUGAGUUUAAUUUCUUGUUUUUUCUUGGUAGUCCAACAUACUGUUUUUUAUCUUAGUUUUUAUUUUUAAUUCUAAUUUUUAAUCUAUCUUGGUUUACUUAUCCAAAUUAGCAUUAAGAUAAUAACUAAUCAUAAAUAGCCUAGUGGAGAGAGGGUAGUUUCAUGGUCUUUAGUGGAGUGGGUUUGAUACUCAUAUAUAGC